UACGGAGGGUGCAAGCAUUAAUCGGAUUUAUUGGGCGUAAAGGGCGCGUAGGCGGCCAUAUAAGUCAGAUGUGAAAUCCCGGGGCUCAACCCCGGAACACAUUUGAAACUGUAUGACUAGAGGGUAGGCGGAGAAAACGGAACUCCACAUGUAGCGGUGAAAUGCGUAGAUAUGUGGAAGAACACCCGUGGCGAAGGCGGCUCUCUGGAACGCAACUGACGCUGAGACGCGAAAGCGUGGGGAGCAAACAGGG
rnacentral:rRNA from 1 species